rnacentral:lncRNA from 1 species
GUGGCAGUAAACUUCGGAUACAAUUCAUAAUCUAGAUACCCUAAGGAACAUUAAUUAAAGUUUGAAGGUAUUUGGCCCAGUAGUUUCAGAGGAGAAGAUUUUUUAAAUAGUUUGCCACGACAGAUGACAAAAUUACCAAUUCAGUGGCAGUAACCCAACAAUGGUUUGUUAGAUUUGUCUGAAUAUUUCAGGGCUGGUAGAUCUUGACCUGUUUAACGUUUUUGCCUCGUGUCAAAUUUGCUCUAAAUGCUUUAAUUUUUGAGAUAUAAGCCAAACACUGCUUUUGACCCCUAUGUUCUAUUUUUAGCCAUGGCGGCCAUGUUUGCUGAUGGAUUUCUAAUAAUUUCAUAUAUCUAAAACAGGUAAAUAUGACACCUUAACUGAAUACAAUUUUUAAAUUGUCCUUGAAUGGAGAAAAAAUUUGAAUGUGUUGCAUUAAAAUACAUAUUAUUAUUAGUAUCUACAUACUGAAUAUGUGUUGAAAGCUACUUUGUGUGAAAAUCUAUUUAAGAAAUGACAGUACUAUUUUUUCUGUCUAUGAAGAAAUAACAUCAAAAAUGUGGUACACACUGAAUAACCCGCGUAGCUAGCUAUUUUGGAAAUGUGCACCACAUUUUUCAUGUUAUUUCGAAUAGACAAUAUUUGAAAAUAUUACAGUCAUCUCUUAAAAAUAUAAUUCUAAAUUCCAUUUUAAACCGUAGGAAACCAUGAAAACGUUGAUGACGUCACGGUCACAUGACAAAAUUAUGCCUGAUAAACAAAACAACGUCAGCCAAUCAGAAGACGCGUUACAUCCAAAAUUAA